rnacentral:lncRNA from 1 species
UUCGCAUCCAUAAGUGAACUCGGACUCAACUCGACGAGUUCGGAUGCUCAACCAUCCUAGUGACAUGUCACUUGUAUCCUAAUCUAUUCCUAAGGUUCAAACGGGAUUUUCCUCGAACACUUAUCCUUGCCAUCUUCCGUAGAAUGCCGAAAUCAAUACUCGGUAACAAUUAUAUUUAACAAGUAGCUCACAUAAUUUACAUAUUAUUUGAAAUUAACCACAAAGCAUACAUUUCAUAAUGAAAUUCAG